GACGAACGCUGGCGGCGUGCCUAAUACAUGCAAGUUGAGCGCUGAAGGUUGGUACUUGUACCAACUGGAUGAGCAGCGAGCGGGUGAGUAACGCGUGAGGAAUCUGCCUUUGAGCGGGGGACAACAUUUGGAAACGAAUGCUAAUACCGCAUAAAAACUUUAAACACAAGUUUUAAGUUUGAAAGAUGCAAUUGCAUCACUCAAAGAUGAUCCCGCGUUGUAUUAGCUAGUUGGUGAGGUAAAGGCUCACCAAGGCGAUGAUACAUAGCCGACCUGAGAGGGUGAUCGGCCACAUUGGGACUGAGACACGGCCCAAACUCCUACGGGAGGCAGCAGUAGGGAAUCUUCGGCAAUGGACGAAAGUCUGACCGAGCAACGCCGCGUGAGUGAAGAAGGUUUUCGGAUCGUAAAACUCUGUUGGUAGAGAAGAACGUUGGUGAGAGUGGAAAGCUCAUCAAGUGACGGUAACUACCCAGAAAGGGACGGCUAACUACGUG
rnacentral:rRNA from 1 species